CCGGGACACACGUGUUACAAUGGCAGGUACANAGGGGUGCUACCGGGUGACCGGAUGCCGAUCUCGAAAACCUGUCCCAGUUCGGACUGGAGUCUGCAACCCGACUCCACGAAGUUGGAUUCGCUAGUAAUCGCGCAUCAGCCAUGGCGCGGUGAAUACGUUCCCGGGCCUUGUACACACCGCCCGUCAAGCCAUGGGAGCCGGGGGCGCCUGAAGUCCGGGACCGCGAGGACCGGCCUAGGGCGAAACUGGUGACUGGGGCUAAGUCGUAACAAGGUAAC
rnacentral:rRNA from 1 species